rnacentral:rRNA from 1 species
GGGCCCGCACAAGCAGCGGAGCGUGUGGUUUAAUUCGACGCAACGCGCAAAACCUUACCAGGGUUUGACAUCCUCGGAAUCUGGCAGAAGUGCUGGAGUGCCUGCAAGGGAGCCGAGAGACAGGUGUUGCAUGGCUGUCGUCAGCUCGUGUCGUGAGAUGUUGGGUUAAGUCCCGCAACGAGCGCAACCCCCGUGGUCAGUUACAUGGUUGUCUGACCAGACUGCCGGAAGCAAACCGGAGGAAGGCGGGGAUGAUGUCAAGUCAGCAUGGCCCUUACACCCUGGGCUACACACACGCUACAAUGGCCGAGACAAUGGGUUGCCAAGCAGCAAUGCGGAGCCAAUCCCUCAAACUCGGUCUCAGUUCAGAUUGUGGGCUGAAACUCGCCCACAUGAAGACGGAGUUGCUAGUAACCGCCGGUCAGCAAUACGGCGGUGAAUAUGUUCCCGGGCCUU